rnacentral:lncRNA from 1 species
AGAUGACCUUGGGGACAAAGGACUUCCCUGCUGGGGAUGUCUGAUCCUCUCUCCUCCCCGGUUUUCUCUUCCCAGAGAGCAACAGUUCCUAGUUUCAGCCCUGAUGAUACCUGAAUGGAAUUCAUAGGACACCAACCGCCCCAAGUGCAAGCAGCUUACAGACUAUCUCUCUUGUCUUUAGAUUGUCCUGUGAAGGGAAGUGAUGGCACGGGCUCUGAUCAGCUCUUCUGGGAACAGACAGAGAAGUGAGAAUUCCUGCCAAAGCCACAGGAUGAACACAGAGCCAAGAACCUGAACCAGAAAAAUCCAGCAGGAAAGGAAACUGCACUGGCCACCAUCCUGAGGCUGCUGUACAAGGAACAAUCCUACCGACUCGGCAGGAGACCAGGGGACAUGGGCCCCAGCCCCACCUGCUUGUCUAGGAUCUCCUUCCUUUCUGCUUGUGCCACAUCUUUCAGGCCCGUUCUGGGUCUGAUGUGCUAUAGAACACUCUGUUCAGACGCUUGGGAGAUAGAGACGUCAUCACCAGCAUUGCCACCCCAAAGAACUAGGCAGCACACUGGGAAGUUGCCAAAGGAAGGGACUCCAGCCUCCCAGGAGUUAACAACAUUUCUCCCCAGCUGUCCUCCCCUUGGUGCUCCUCUUCCUCCCUCCUCCUGCUCACAGCAGGCAGGGCCUGGAACCAGGAGCCAUGCUGCUGUGCUGUUGCCAGGGGAGCUGGGAGGCAGAUCAGAGCUAUGCAGGGAAAAGGCUCGGCCUGUCAGAGUGUCUGAGAUGAACCACCGCCAUCCCUGUGCAGCUGGGCUCCAUGUGUCUCAGGGCUCUUGUUCUGUGCCUGAGAACGGUGAAGCCCAGCAAGGUUCAAGGGCACACUCGCUAUUCAUCAGUCGGGGGUUCUUGACGGUCCUGCCUCUCCCAGGGAUGGGUUCCCCCCUUCCUCUUUCUCUCCCUCCUAUGAUACAUUCCUGGGUGCCUGUGGUGAGGACUGCACACCCCCUUCUCCACAGCCCCCCC